AGUCAACAUGCCCAGGGGACGUGGAUAACCUCGGGAAACUGAGGAUAAACCGCGAUAGGUCAUCACUUCUGGAAUGGGUAAUGACUUAAACCUAUAUGGCCCCUGGAUUGGACUGCGGCCGAUCAGGCUGUUGGUGAGGUAAUGGCCCACCAAACCUGUAACCGGUACGGGCUCUGAGAGGAGGAGCCCGGAGAUGGGCACUGAGACAAGGGCCCAGGCCCUAUGGGGCGCAGCAGGCGCGAAACCUCUGCAAUAGGCGAAAGCUUGACAGGGUUACUCUGAGUGAUUUCCGUUAAGGAGAUCUUUUGGCACCUCUAAAAAUGGUGCAGAAUAAGGGGUGGGCAAGUCUGGUGUCAGCCGCCGCGGUAAUACCAGCACCCCGAGUGGUCGGGACGUUUAUUGGGCCUAAAGCAUCCGUAGCCGGUUCUACAAGUCUUCCGUUAAAUCCACCUGCUUAACAGAUGGGCUGCGGAAGAUACUAUAGAGCUAGGAGGCGGGAGAGGCAAGCGGUACUCGAUGGGUAGGGGUAAAAUCCGUUGAUCCAUUGAAGACCACCAGUGGCGAAGGCGGCUUGCCAGAACGCGCUCGACGGUGAGGGAUGAAAGCUGGGGGAGCAAACCGGAUUAGAUACCCGGGUAGUCCCAGCUGUAAACGAUGCAGACUCGGUGAUGAGUUGGCUUAUUGCUAACUCAGUGCCGCAGGGAAGCCGUUAAGUUUGCCGCCUGGGGAGUACGGUCGCAAGACUGAAACUUAA
rnacentral:rRNA from 1 species